AGCCCUUUCCCAGCCACCGUCAUCCAGGGACCUCCAUCUCUUGUGUCAGGACAGAAUCGCGGGUGCGCUGGACACAGCCCUGGCGGGGCCCAUUCAGCCGCACCCCCGAGAGCUCCCCAGUGGGGUCUGUUUCCUGGACCCCCUGAGCCACCUGGUUCUGUUCUGUGCCUGCAUCUCCAGCCUCGUCGGUUCUGCAGAUUGCCUGACGUCCUCCAGCUUCCUGUGGCCUGAGCUGCUGCCUAGACUUCAGAGGAGUUCAAGGACAAGCUGGAGCCCUCUGACACCUGAGCUGAGAGGCUGACGAACUGCCACCCUCCAUAAAUAGACGGUGACACAGCAGAUGGUAGAUGGAGAUUAAUCUCUUGCGCCCCGACCGGCCCCUCGCCAACGAGCAGCCUGCGGCCGGGGAGAUCUCGGGGCCUUUCCCUGAGCUGCGCUCCUGGGACAGUCCCACCCUGACCAACAGCAGCCCCCGGUUUGUUUCUGAGGGUCCGUCUCCAAAAACCUGCAAGGAGAAAGAGCCUCCGCCACUGUGCCGGACCCCAAGGAGAGCAC